UUCGCAAUGCCCGAAAGGGUGACGAAGCGACGCCGCGUGGGUGAAGAAGGCCUUCGGGUUGUAAAGCCCUGUCAGGAGUUAUGAAGUGUAGGUACGAUAAUACCGUGCUUAUUUGACAAAGGCUCCAAAGGAAGCCACGGCUAACUCUGUGCCAGCAGCCGCGGUAAUACAGAGGUGGCAAGCGUUGUUCGGAAUUAUUGGGCGUAAAGAGCACGUAGGUGGGUUUGUAAGUCAGGUGUGAAAGCCUUCUGUUCAACAGGAGAAUUGCAUCUGAAACUACAAGUCUUGAGUAUAGGGGGGGAGAAUGGAACUUCUGGUGGAGCGGUGAAAUGCGUAGAUAUCAGAAGGAACGCCGGCGGCGAAAGCGAUUCUCUGGCCUAUUACUGACACUCAGUGUGCGAAAGCUAGGGGAGCAAACGGGAUUAGAUACCCCGGUAGUCCUAGCCGUAAACGAUGGGCACUAAGUAGAGGGGUUUU
rnacentral:rRNA from 1 species